rnacentral:lncRNA from 1 species
CUGCCCCACUUCCUGGGGCCCAGAAGAGCCUGCCUAUCUGAUAAGCUCUGGGGAGUGCCCACUUCAUGGCCUGCUGCUCCUGGCAGUCUUUAACUGGUUUCUUCUGGAGAUGGUGCAGGGGCUGCAUGGUGGGCACACGGGACAGCAUGCCUGUGGGGGCGCCAUGAGAAGGGGAGGGCCUGAACCCCCAGGGUGGGCUAAGGUGCAGGUAGAAGGCCAGGGGAGAGUCCUGCAAGAGCUACUCCUGGCCGACUCAGACCCUCUUGCCCUUCUUAUCGGGCCUGAGGAGCGAUAAGGGGCCAGUUCCUGGACUGUGGGUUCUAGGCCUUUGUUUGGGACCGCCAGGAAGUGACUUGGUUUUGCUGUGGCUUAAGCAGUGUGGUUGAUUCACCAGGGUGGGGGGCUGGGUGUGCCUGGGGGAGCCCCCAAACACCAGGCCCUGCACCACCCAUCACCGACAGGCCAGCCGCUGGGAGGCCACCGUGGGAGUGUGUCCAGCCUCCACAUCCGCCUCCUGACAGCUGGCCACAGAGGGAGGAUUCCUCACCCCAGGGCGUCUCCUCUUUCUUUACUUUUCAAGCAGAAAACACUUCCAGAAUAUAUUAUUCCCCAAAUGUGCGAGACACUAGAAUGAGUGCUUUGCCUACACCAUCUCCUUUCAUCUUCACCCCAGUAACAACGGCCCUCAGGGCUCAUCGUGGGUGUUAUUCACUGUCCACAUUUUGCAGAAGAGGAAACUGAGACUCAGAGAGAGGAAGUAAAUUGCUCAGGUUCACUCAGCUAGGAAGCAACAGAUCAGGAUUCGAGCCCAGUCCAAAAUCAUAAUUCACUCCCUUGAAAAGCCAAAAGAGAGAGAGAACAGGGCCAGACGGGGUGGCGUCAGGAGGGUUGUGGGUCCCCUGGCUGCUGUGCAGAGCUUACAUCGGGCGCUCAAAGGAGCCCGAGCCAACCACUGCCCAAGAGAUUCUACCAAGAUGAAAAUGGUUCCUCCCCAGCCACAGUUCCAUCACCUGCGUGAUGGGACGAGAGACUGGAUCAGGUGUUCUCCACAGCCGGUUAUGAAGUGAUCCCAGGCCUGGGUCUCCUGAUGAGUCCAUCUGACUUCCACUCUCCAGCACCCCCAGGGUUUACUGCUUCCAUCCUGCUGACAGCCAUAUGCUCUUCUCUGGCUGAUUCAAGACAAAAGAAGAUAGGAUGACAAAGCAGAAGACCAGAGAGAAAGAGAUUUGAAGAUGCUACCCUGCUGGCUUUGGAGAUGGAAGCAAGGGCCAUGAGCCAAGAGGUGUAUGUGGCUUUUGGAAGCAGCCACAGCAAAUUAACACAACCACGGAGCCAGUCCCCACAGCCUGGUCAGGUGCAGCAUGAUUCCAGACAACAGCAAUGAGGAAGCCAGCCUUGUGGAGCUGAUGCCUGGCAGAGAACAUCACUAAGCAACAGGCAUCCUGAGUGCUUGGGUUUGAGGCCCAGCCUUGCUAUCUCCCAGCUGUGUGAUUUGGACCAAGUAACUCGAUCUCACCUCACCUGCCUGAUGAGAUAACAGGAUUUUGUGAGGUUUAUAUGUAUCUUUGGCUCUUGGAACAAUGUCUGGCACAGAGUAAUUUACAAGGGCUCAGUAAAUCUGUCAUUUAUGGCCUCCCCAUGUCAGCAGCUAGGUGGCUGGCCACAGCCCUCGUGGUGGAGUGAGGCUGGGAUCUGGGGCUGGCCAAUGAGAGGCCCAAGUCUCCUUGACUGGGGGAUCAGCCAUGGUCACCAGAACCAACUCACAUCAGCCCUGGACUUUGGCUGGAAGUUCUGGGAAAGAGGUGCUCUCUCCCUGUUGGGAUCUUGUUGGGAUUCUCGAGGAGCUCGGCCUGGAGAAGAUGGCGGGCAUUUUUGUCACCACGAGGGGACAGCCUGCCUGAGAAGGAAGCCAACAGGAAGGAAGGUGGAGACCAGGAUGGAGCAGGGCAGCUCUUGAUGACGUCACCAAGGCCCUAGAUCCAGACUUGCCUGAACCACCCCUUGGACUGUCUGGUUCCAGGAACCAAUCACUACCCCUUUUUGCUUUAGGAGUUUUAUCUGGGUUUCUGCCACUCACAACCAGGAGAGUCCUGACUGAUAGACAGGGACUCAAUGAACACAUGUUGAUUGAGUGACUGAGUGAGCAUUCAGGGCUCUGGCACUGUCCUGAGCCCAGUAAAUUUUGGGAUGAUUGUGUGGUAAGUGUCUCGCCUUCCUGUAGGACCAUAGGGACUUGCAGGGGAUUCUUCAUUUGACUUGGGAAGAUGCCUUCUUCGUCCUCCCUGCUUGCAGGGCUUGGCAUCGAAGUCUAGGUUCCUUCAAGAGAAGGCGGAGGUACUGUGCACCUGGCCCAGGAGGCCAAAUCCCUGUUUUCUUCUCUCUGACCCAAAUUUCCCCAAACAGCGAGGUCUCAGCUCCACUUGGAGAGGGGAGAUGGGAAAGAGGCUGGCUGCUAGAGUCCAAAGCAACAGCCCAGGAAAUAAGGGCCUUUAUUAGUCCCAUUUUACAGAUGAAGACACUGAGGCCAGAGAGCCGAAGUUAUCUGUCUUCAAACCCAGGGCCCACCAAACAGAACUCAACUCUAUCCUUGCUUCCAAACCACUGCUUCCUCCUCCUUAGCCAUUUUCCAUCUGGUGUUGGCGUUUUUUUUCCUGGCUUUCUUGCCCUGUCAUAUUUGGAUACUCUGUUUUUGUUUGUUUGUUUGUUUUUUGUUUUUUGAGAUAG